ACGCAAAUAACAGACAGAAAUGCUGAAGAAUUUAUUAUUGAAUGUGUCAAAAAUCAGAAAGAAAACAAGAUAGAUGUCUGUAUGUGACAGAAGAAGAAAUUAUGAAAGAACAAAGUGAUAAGCUAGAGGAGCUAUUAAAAAAUGUUAAUCCAGUUAAAGGAAUUCAAACUGCAAGAAGUGUAGUGAAAACUGGUCCUCUUGAAAUUAGCCUGUUCAAGAACACCGGUGAUUCUGAACCAAUUGGUCACUUAAAUAUUUGAACACUUAAACAUCAUGAUUCAAUUAAUGUCAGUGAUGAGCCUGU
rnacentral:lncRNA from 1 species